AGUGCCACCCCUGAAUGUCACCAUGUCCCUGAAAUGUCCCCAAGUGCCACCACCCUGCUGUCACUGUGUCCCCAAUGUGUCCCCAAGGUGCCACCACCCCUUGAUAAUGUCCCCAGAGUGUCCCCAAGUGCCAGCACUGCAGUGCCACUGUGUCAAUAAAGUGUCCCCAAGGUGCCAUCACCCUGUUGUCACUGUGUUCUUUAAGUGCCACCACCCCUGGCAGUGUCCCCAAGGUGGCACCCCCGAUGUCACUCUGUCCCCAAGGGGGGUUGGGGACACCAAAGAGACACCCUGGGACCCCUCAGGUGAUCUCAAACCCACCCAGGUGACCCCAGAGGUGACAGAGGUGACACAGGAGGUGACAAGACAAGGUGAUCCAAGUGACAUUGGGGAUGCUCAGGUGACACUGGGGGCCUUCAAGUGACCCAGGAGGUGACACAGGUGACCCCAACCCUCUUCAGGUGACAGAGAAGGUGACACAGGAGGUGACCCUGGAGGUGACACAGGUGACAUUGGGGACCCCAAAAUCCACUCAGGUGACCCCAGAGGUGACACUGAGGACCCUCAGGUGACAGAGGUGGUGACACAGGUGACCCCAGGUGACAGACAAGGUGACACAGGUGACCCCAAAACCUGCCCAGAUGACCCUUGGAAGUGACCCAGGUGACCCCACAGGUGACACAGGUGGUGACCCAGGUGACAUUGUGGACUCUCAGGUGACCCAGGUGACACUGGAGACCUUCAAGUGACCCCAAAACCGCCCAGGUGACACUGAAGUGACCCAGGUGACACCAACCCUCCUCAGGUGACACUGGGGAUCCUCAGGUGAUGCCAAAACCCACCCAGGUGACACCACAGGUGACCCAGGUGGCAGAAAAGGUGACACAGGAGGUGGUGACACAGGUGACUCUGACCCUCCUCAGGUGACACUGGGGAUCCUCAGGUGACAAAAAAGGUGACACAUGUGACCCCAAAACCUGCCCAAGUGACCCAGAGGUGACACUGGGGACCCUCAGGUGACCCCAAACCUGUCCAGGUGACAUUUGGGACUCUCCAUGUGACCCCAGAGGUGACACUGGGGACCCUCAGGUGACAGAGAGGGUGACACAGGUGACCUUAACCCUCCUCAGGUGACCCCAAAACCCACCCAGGUGACCCCAAGUGACCCCAGAGGUGACACAGAAGGUGACAAAGGUGACCCAGGUGACACAGAAGUGACCUCAGGUGACAUUCAGGACACUCAGGUGACCCCAGAUGACCCCAACCCCCCUCAGUUGACCCCAUGUGACCCAGGAGGUGACCCAGGAGGUGACAAAGUGACACAGAGGUGACUCUGCGGUGGCUUUUCCAUCCCGAGUUUAUUCCGGCCCCGGGGGCGACUUUUCAAUAUGAAAAACCAAAGGAACGGGAAAAGAACGAACAAAAAACACCAAAAACACCAAAAAAUAAAACAACAAAAAUCCAAAAUAACCCAAAAAGGGCGAAACUGCCAGGGGGGAGGGGACAGAAAUGGGACAAGUGACAAAAAUUGGGGAGAAGUGACAAAAAUUGGGAAAAAAACGAACCAAAAUGGAGAAAAAUGAAAAAAAAUUGAGAAAAAACAGGAAAAAAAUGAACCAAAAAUUGGA
rnacentral:lncRNA from 1 species